GAUGAACGCUAGCGACAGGCCUAACACAUGCAAGUCGAGGGGCAGCACAUGAGUAGCAAUACGAUGGUGGCGACCGGCGCACGGAUGAGUAACACGUAUGCAACCUGCCUUCUACUAUGGGAUAACCCGUUGAAAGACGGACUAAUACCGUAUAAUACAGGGGCUCCGCGGGGAGAUAUUUGUUAGAGAUUUAUUGGUAGAAGAUGGGCAUGCGUAUGAUUAGAUAGUUGGUGAGGUAACGGCUCACCAAGUCAACGAUCAUUAGGGGUUCUGGGAGGAAGGUCCCCCACACUGGUACUGAGACACGGACCAGACUCCUACGGGAGGCAGCAGUGAGGAAUAUUGGUCGAUGGACGAGAGUCUGAACCAGCCAAGUCGCGUGAAGGAAGACGGUUCUAUGAAUUGUAAACUUCUUUUGUGCAGGAAUAAAGUGGGUUACGUGUAACCUUUUGUAUGUACUGUACGAAUAAGGAUCGGCUAACUCCGUGCCAGCAGCCGCGGUAAUAC
rnacentral:rRNA from 1 species